CUUCUCCCUGGCGUGGUCUCCCUAAGUACUGUCAGAGCCGCGUCAGAAGGGGGCAGGGCCGGCUCCGCAAUGCGGAAGUGCCGAACCCGGAAGAGAUACCGCAUGACAGGACCCCCCACCUAAGGAGCACUCUGCGGGUGCUGUUACCUCGGUUUCUGAGGGUACCUUUUGUGAAAAGCAGUAAUUAACUUUUUUGCAUUAAUUUCAGAGGAAUUCUCCCAGGUGUUAUCUUCAUCUCCAUAACUCUUCCAUCUAAUAAGGUAUUGUA